UACGUAGGCAGCGAGCGUUGUUCGGAGUACUGGGCGUAAAGCGUGCGUAGGCGGUUGUCUAAGUUUGGUGUGAAAAUCUCCCGGCUUAACUGGGAGGGUGCGCCGAAAACUGGGUGACUGGAGUGUCGGAGAGGUAAGCGGAAUUCCUGGUGUAGCGGUGAAAUGCGUAGAGAUCAGGAGGAACACCUGUGGUGUAGACAGCUUACUGGACGAUAACUGACGCUGAGGCACGAAAGCGUGGGUAGCAAACAGG
rnacentral:rRNA from 1 species